rnacentral:rRNA from 1 species
UACAGAGGAGCCAAGCGUUGUCCGGAUUGACUGGGCGUAAAGCGCACGCAGGCGGUCGGGCGCGUGGGGUGUGAAAUCUGGCCGCUUAACGGCCAGGCGCCAUCCCAUACGGCUCGACUGGAGUGAUGCAGAGGUCGAUGGAAUUGCCGGUGUAGUGGUGAAAUGCGUAGAGAUGUGGAGGAACACCGAUGGCGAAGGCAGCCCCCUGGGCUGAGAUUGACGCUCAGGCACGAAAGCGUGGGGAGCAAACAGG